GAGGGUACAGCUCAGUGGUAGAGUGAUUGCUUAGCAUGCAUGAGGCCCUGGGUUCAAUCCCUAGUACUGCCA
rnacentral:tRNA from 1 species